ACCAUUUGCACAGUACGGAAGCUUUAAGAUACAAUUUAUAAGUUGAUACACCCGAAGGUGAGUCCUAAUUUUGUCCAAUCUGUCAGAACACCGUCAAAUUCCUCGUAGUCACCACACCUUUGUGAUUCCUGAACCUGGAGGGGCGCAAAACCAAAAUUGAGUGGGUCAGUAAAACCAUUCUUUUCCAAAUCCAAACAUUUCUCAAAACGUUGUAACCCCUCUCCGUAAAACCCGUAUACUUUCCCAGAAAUGUAAAAUAUAAAUAUACAUAUAUAUUCUCAAGACUUCAAGUCAUUAACUCAACAUUUUCAUCAUAAUUAUGCCAUGCCAAAUCAUCUCAACAUUUCUCAUAUUAAUUAUGCCAUGCCACAUCAUCUCAACAGUAAUAAGGUAUGAAUGCAUCAACAUAAAUCAUAUCAGGUGCAAUAAAGUAAUCAACCGGAGGCCCUCUAUUAGCCCGGUUGAACCUAGAGCUCAAAAUCUAUCACUCUCACACUCUGCCGGAGUCACUCCGCGUGACCUGUUCGGCCUUCUGCACACAAGUUACGCUCUAGUGCUUUCUCAUCAAUCAUCUGUGCACAUAAUCUAAGGUCACCCACCAGUCGGAAUCUCACUAACACUCUCGCGACUGGCCUGUCGUACCCACUCCGCGUGGACUGUACGACUAGCAUCUACUUGGAUCCAAGACGAGCGUGCGAUGCGGUGAAUACUAUAAGCACUAAACCAUGGUGCAGGAUUUGAGCUCAAUAUACAUUAACAUCAUCAUAUCAGUAUUUAAAUACUCACCUGAUACUCACCUGUGCGUCCGCCGCACCAUUCAUUCAUAUGCAUCAUAUCUCAAUUUCAUACUUUUCAUAUCAUUUCAUGCAUGGCAAUUCGAUUCACAUUUCUAUAUACUUUUCAUAUACUUUUAUGCAUGGCAUCUCAAUUCACAUUUCAAUAUACUUUUCAUAUAAUUUUUAUACAUUGCAUUUAAAGCAUACUUUCCUUCAAUUUCAAUUUCUGGGAAAACGUCAAGUAUAUAUAUAUACGGAAAACAAAACUGCCCACUCACCUGGAGUUCGCCCUACAACUCCCUAGCACAAUACGCCAAGGCGUCAUGACGAUCGGCGCCUAAAACAAUAAUCAAUUCCAACCUCAGAAUUCAUAUCGAUAGAAUAUAUAACUUAUAUAAAAUACGUCACUACGUAGUUCAAUCCGGAAGAUCCACCACUCAGAUUUUAAAUCCAUAACUUCCAGAGGUCCACAAUAUAUCUCUAGGAUAACAUCCUAAAAUUUCAUUACCAUCCAACGGUCGGAUCAUCAAUUCACAUUUUCACCUAAUGCGAAAACUAUAAAACGUUAUUCGAACACCUAACCAACAAUCCUUAAUAACUUUCUCAUACGGUGCUCAACUUGGGUAUAUGAAUAUACCACAGUGAUCUACUCGACGUCACGGACGUCGACAUAUUUUUAAAAUAAUUUUUUACUGUAGCACGCGCCCCCACGCGCCAAGGAAGGCACGGGUCCACGCGCGCCCACGCGCACCUUCUUCCUCGCGGGUUCGCCGGACUGGUUUUUCCGGUGGCCGGAAAACUGGGGAAUUUUCAAAUGCUUCGUUCUCCUUCGUUUCUCAACCAUUUUCUUCGUAUAAUAUAUCAAUUUAAAGCCCUCAACAUGUAGAAUCACAAUAUACUACUUUUAAGCUUCAAAAACAACUAAAUCUCACCGGAAAAAUCCAAGCAAAACCGGCCAAACUUAACCCUCGUGAUCCCGACGUCCAAAUCCUUCCAACGAAGCACUCCGAGCUUCCUUGGGACCUCACUAAGCUCACUAUGAGCUUGGAUUGUCCUAAAAAUCAACCAAUUCAAAGCUCAUGAACAGUACACAUUCACGGCAACUUUAGAAACUAGGGUUUUCGAAGUGAAACUUACCUUAAACUGGUACCUACGUGAUCGUGGAGUCCUCAGGAGUGCAAUGGUGGUUUUAAAUCCGGCGUUGGUAAUAGUUUUAGGUGGUUUUGAUGGUUGCCCGUGUGUUCGAGAGGGUGAGAGAGAGAGAGUGAGGUCUGAGGAAGAGAGAGAGAGUAUGAAGGACAGUAUACGGGAAAUAGGGAGGGAAAUAAGGA
rnacentral:lncRNA from 1 species